AGCAUUUGUGUAUGUUUUUGUUGAACUGGUAGACAAAGACAUGAAAGACAGGUGCAAAAAAAAACACCCCUCUUUUGCAACCCAUUAAUUUUAUGAAUUUUGACACAUGUAAGACACAGACU